ACACAUGUAACCGGAACUUUGGGACCUCCAAGUCAACUGACCCAAGACUAUCCUUAGGCUGGAAGAAGAAAUAUUAGCAGCGCAACAUCUAGUCCAAUUUGUGGAUGACAUCCUAAAGCAAUUAUGACAUGCUAUGUUUCAAAACAGUUUAUGAGCAGGCACUAUUUGUGACAGCAGUCCAGUAAUGGUGAUGGGACAGCAGAGGAUGGAUGUGUCCAGAGUUUCCCUAUGAAUUUCAUGAGAGUCGCGCUGGAAACAGAAGAUAGAGGGAGUGGAGGAGCUCGCCAUCUCCAAGCGAUCUACAGUGGGAAAAACAUGGAGUCCGCUCCGGCAGCCCCCGAUCCAGCAGCCAGCGAGCCGGGCAGCAGCGUCUCCGAGGCGGCCGCCGGCGCCAGGGACACCCCGGCGAGCCUGGAGCCGGCCCGGAAAAGCGAUGCGCCGGCCGCCGGCCGCAGGCAGAGCUACUCCAGCAGCGGCAGCGGCAGCAGAGGUAGGGAGACCUGGGGGGGGGGGCCGGGGGGGGGGGAGCGGGGUGGGUGGGAAGAGGGAGAGGCGAGGGGGAAGAGGGGGCAAGGCAGCGCUCGGCUCCCCCGCUGCAGCGCCCGGGCUCGUCGCGGCCGCGCACGCGAGCGAGGCACGCUCCUGCCCCCGCAAAACCUCGCAAACUUUUCCAGCUCCUCGCAAUUGCGGCGGGAGGAGGGACGGGCGCGCCGGGAGGACCGGCCGCUCCGCUCCGCUCCCUGCCCGCCGCGCCGGAGGGGCACCGCGCUCCGAAAUUACAUAAUUUGA
rnacentral:lncRNA from 1 species